GGGUUGCUAACUCAACGGUAGAGUACUCGGCUUUUAAUUUUUUUUUUUUAACAACGAAAUUAUCUACUCCA
rnacentral:tRNA from 1 species